rnacentral:rRNA from 1 species
UACGGAGGGUGCAAGCGUUGUCCGGAAUCACUGGGCGUAAAGGGCGCGUAGGCGGCUCAUGAAGGCUGUGGUGAAAGUCCGGGGCUCGAACCUCGGAUCCGGCCGUGGCGACUCGUGGGCUGGAGCACUGUAGAGGCGGGUGGAAUUCCGGGUGUAGCGGUGGAAUGCGUAGAGAUCCGGAAGAACACCAGUGGCGAAGGCGGACCCGCUGGGCAGUGGCUGACGCUGAGGCGCGAC